rnacentral:rRNA from 1 species
UACGGGGGGUGCGAGCGUUGUCCGGAAUCACUGGGCUUAAAGGGCGCGUAGGCGGGCUGCCAAGUUUGGGGUGAAAUCCUCCGGCUCAACCGGGGAAGGGCCUUGAAUACUGGCGGUCUGGAGGGGGGUAGGGGCGUGCGGAACUAACGGUGGAGCGGUGAAAUGCGUUGAUAUCGUUAGGAACUCCGGUGGCGAAGGCGGCACGCUGGACCCUCACUGACGCUGAGGCGCGAAAGCCAGGGGAGCGAACGGG